AACGAACGCUGGCGGCAUGCCUAACACAUGCAAGUCGAACGAGAUCUUCGGGUCUAGUGGCGCACGGGUGCGUAACGCGUGGGAAUCUGCCCUUUGGUUCGGAAUAACAGUUGGAAACGACUGCUAAUACCGGAUGAUGACGAAAGUCCAAAGAUUUAUCGCCAGAGGAUGAGCCCGCGUAGGAUUAGCUAGUUGGUGUGGUAAAGGCGCACCAAGGCGACGAUCCUUAGCUGGUCUGAGAGGAGGAUCAGCCACACUGGGACUGAGACACGGCCCAGACCCCUACGGGAGGCAGCAGUGGGGAAUAUUGGACAAUGGGCGAAAGCCUGAUCCAGCAAUGCCGCGUGAGUGAUGAAGGCCUUAGGGUUGUAAAGCUCUUUUACCCGGGAUGAUAAUGACAGUACGGGGAGAAUAAGCUCCGGCUAACUCCGUGCCAGCAGCCGCCGUAA
rnacentral:rRNA from 1 species